rnacentral:rRNA from 1 species
GAUGAACGCUGGCGGCGUGCCUAAUACAUGCAAGUCGAGCGAACAGACGAGGAGCUUGCUCCUCUGACGUUAGCGGCGGAAGGGGGAGUAACACGUGGAUAACCUACCUAUAAGACUGGGAUAACUUCGGGAAACCGGAGCUAAUACCGGAUAAUAUAUUGAACCGCAUGGUUCAAUAGUGAAAGACGGUUUUGCUGUCACUUAUAGAUGUAUCCGCGCCGCAUUAGCUAGUUGGUAAGGUAACGGCUUACCAAGGCAACGAUGCGUAGCCGACCUGAGAGGGUGAUCGGCCACACUGGAACUGAGACACGGUCCAGACUCCUACGGGAGGCAGCAGUAGGGAAUCUUCCGCAAUGGGCGAAAGCCUGACGGAGCAACGCCGCGUGAGUGAUGAAGGUCUUCGGAUCGUAAAACUCUGUUAUUAGGGAAGAACAAAUGUGUAAGUAACUAUGCACGUCUUGACGGUACCUAAUCAGAAAGCCACGGCUAACUACGUG